GCGUAUCCUUCAGCCCGAGCCAACAAAUCAGCAAAAUCUCUGGGGUACUUCUUCUCCAAGGAGAACAAAAGGUCAUUCUUUUGAAGGCCACCCUUCAGAGCGGCCAUUGCGACUGAUUGGUCCAAGUUUCGGACCUCCAGUGCCGCGAUGUUGAAACGGUUGAUGUAGGCCCGAAUGGACUCCCCUUCCCUCUGCUUGAUAUUGAUGAGGGACUCCGAACCCUUCCGGGGGCGCCGGCUGCUGACAAAAUGGGCCACAAAUUGGUGGCUCAUUUGAUUGAAGGAAAAGAUGGUACCCGGUUUCAAAGCCGAGUAUCAGUUCCUCACCGCUCCCUUCAAGGUGGAUGGGAAGGCCCAGCAUAGAAUGGCGUC
rnacentral:lncRNA from 1 species